rnacentral:lncRNA from 1 species
AAACAAACAAACAAACAAACAAAACAAACAGUUCAAAAUAUAUGAAGACAUAUAGACUAGCAGGACAAGCCAUGUGCAAUUAGGUUACAGCUUCUAAAAUGAAAAAUGACAUUGUAUGGAUUUCCACGUUUCUCUAGGAAGAAAAAAAGAAGCAAAUAAAAUUAGAACAAAAAUUUUGUAUUACUCACCCAAAGCCACUGUGGACCAAGUGGCAUCAGAGUGGUACAAGCAGCACCUGGAUCCUUAACGCCUAGACUAGGAGAGAAACUUGAAGAGCUUGAAGAAUGUUACCAAGAAUGAAAAAGUUUGAAGAUAGGGGAGUUGGAAGGAAUACCUGGUAGAGGACAUUCUUGAAGGUGUGGAAAUAGAGUCUAGAACACAACUGAAUAAAGAGAGCUCCCCAUUUUGUGAGAUUGGAGGUGAAGAGGGAAAUUUGUGGAAAGAGGAACUUGGCAAGGAUGACCAAGCAGUGAGAACAAUUGCUCCUGAAUGACAAAGAGGGAAGCUCUUCUGAAAAUGCU